rnacentral:tRNA from 1 species
GUUGGUAUAGCUCAGUGGUAGAACACGUGCUUAGUAUGCACGACAUCCUGGGUUCAAUGCCUAGUACCUCCA